UCACGACAUGAUGACUGGCCAUCCUUUUCCAAAUGCAUCGACCUAUGCAUCCGAGGUCCAAUCGAGGCUAGCAAGUUGCAUGCAUUAUUGCACGUCACACGAUAAUCUGCGCACAAGUUGCAUUAACAGUGAGACAGGUUCUUUGGCUUCCUUUCCCCUUCGCUACAGUUCAUAGCGGCGGCGACAGGCGACUUCUCGGCCCCGGCGUGAUUCCGCUGCUUCCCCCUCCCCUCUAGUGGCCUCGUCGUCGCCGGAGGGGGAGGGGAAGCCGGAUCUACCGGGUGAUGUACAUGUACAUAUUUAGCUCUAGAUCUCUAGUUUAUGUGCUAAAUAAUCCCUCCCAUGGAUUUGGUUUGCCAUGGGCGGGCCGGGUUCUUCCCUGUCGGUGGUGACGACGACGGCGUGAAGCUUUUGUUCCUUCUUCUCCUCUCCGUUGGCGUCGGCUCCGGCGAGGAUCGAAGAUGGAUGGAUCUCCUCCAGGCGGGUGUCGGCAGUGGCGUCUUCGGUGGCGCGGGCUCCGGUGCUCCUUCUGUGAGUGACUCCGAUGACCGGGCGCACACAAAGCCGGAGACUUGGGACAGGUUUGUUUGUUCCACUCGUCGAGUAGCAUGAGCGCGUCCCCCUGCGAAGCCUUCUGCAGAACAGGCAACAUGCUUGUAAUGACCCGCCAACUACCUCGAGGCUACAGGCGCCAUUGUUUUCGUGACCUAAUCAUGUUGAACUAUGAGAUAAAAAUCUUUUUGCUUUUUGUUCAAAUUUUGGAGGAAAAUGAUGAGAGUAUCAAGACUCUCACUGAUUUUUUUUAGGAAAAAGUUCUUUUUACCUAUUUAGACUAUAGGUUGAGUUCGCGUUCCAUCCUUAGACCACAAAACCAUUCGUUUGGACUCCUCCAACUCGCAAUACUGGACAUAUUACCUCCUUGACUGGUUUCUCUAAGUGGUUUUUCUCCUUUUCUUUUAUAUUUAUUUUGGUUGAAUUUUUAAAAAUCAUAGUAAAUCACAUAAAAAUUAUAAAAUAGAAAAUUUAAUUUUGUUGGACUCCACAUGACUAGACCUAAGCACUGAACAUAUUGUAUGAUAUACUUUAGUAUAAAAUUUUUUCUAUAGCUUUAUAUAUAUAUUUAUCUGUAAUUAAUCCAUAGCUAAAUUUUGUGUGGUCCAAUUAUAGUGAAAAUUUUAUGGUGAUCUAACUAAUACAUUCUUAAGUUGUAGUAAAAAUUUCAUACUCAUUGGAUGAUGCAUGCUUGAGUUAUAGAUUUGUCUAGGUAAAUAUUUGAAAAAUUGUAGUAAAUAACAAACAAAUCAUAAAAUGAAAAAUAUAGUUUUUUGGAUUCCACAUGAGUAGAUCUAUGUAGUAAAUAUAUUAUAUGGUAUAAUUCAGUAUAAAGUUCUUGAUGUAGAUUUAGAUAUAUAUUUUUUGUAAUUAAUUCAUAGCCAUAAUUUUUAUCAUAGAAUUAUGAUGAAAUAUUUAUGGUGAGUUAAUUAUUACAUGAUUGAUCUAUAAGAAAAAUUUUAUUCUCAUUGGCAGAUGCAUACCUGAGUUAUAGAUUUAUCUAGAUUUAUCAAUAUAUUUAGCUAAGUUUACCUAUAUAAAUCUAUAACUCAAGUGUGCAUGAUACAAUAAGCAUGAAAUUUUUUUUACAUGCCUAUAAUUUAAUGGUUAGUUCACCAUAAUUUGACUACACAAACAGUAGCUAUGAAUUCAUUAUAGAAAAGUAUAUAUCUAAAUAUAUAAAAUAAAUGUAUUAAAGUAUAUUAUAUAAUAUAUUCACUGCAUAGGUCUCGUCAUGUGGAGUCCAAAAAAAUUAAAUUUUCUAUUUUACGAUUUUUAUAUGAUUUAAUAUAAUUUUUCAAAUAUUCAGCUAAAAUAAAUAUAAAAGAAAAUGAGGAAAACCACUUAGGGAGGUGCUAUGUCUGGUAUUGCGAGUUUGAGGAGUUCAAAUAGACAGUUUUGUGGUCUACGAAGGAAACGCAGAUUCGACCCAUACUCUUCGCUCUGGCGGUGCGGCCCAUGACUGCAGCCCAUCGUCGUUGCUAGAGAGAAAGCCCAGAUUAUUGAGCCCAAAGGCCCCGUCUGCACCCCUUUCGUGGCGCACUCCACGCCGGCAGAACCAGCGCCACCGCUCCAGCCACUCGUGCUUACGUCGUCGAGCAGCCCGCCGCCGGGUCGCGCACCGGCCGGCGGUGCCAAUCGAGGGCGGGGCGGACGGAGAACCGCUGGCCACGGCCGCGGCUCAGUGCCCGUUUCGAGCACACAGCCACACAGGCUUCAAGUGGCUCCUGACAUAUUUACAUUGGCACUACUGACAUCAGCUACUAAAACAAGCAUCUGGGCCACAUUUUCCAUGGUGUACACAGGGUGGAGAGGAUUUGCGCUCCAGACAAUUGUCCUUUCAGAUGACCUGGAGAACCAGAUGGCGAAGGUGGAGGCAUUGGGGGAGAUGCUGUAGAAGCCGCAGGCGAAAGUGCCGUCUGCUGAGUGGAGCACGUUGGAGCUGUGCUCAACGGAGAGGGAGGAGCCCGCCAAGAGGAAAUCACGGGCUGAGACGCUAGAAAGCAGGUGAAUCAAACUGAGGAGAAUACAAGCUGAGCAUGCAUCCAUGGUAUAUGCUGCAGCCACGAUCAAUUGUGCGGAAGCCAAUGGAUGGACGCGAGGAGAAGCAGAUGCAGCACUGGGUUGGUCUUUGGAACGGUGGAAAACGCACACCAUCCAAAUUGCAAUGCAUUAUUAGCCAUGGGCUCCUAGGAAGGAAGGUCAUUUUGUUCUUUAAAGAAGACUGACUUAUGGGAAGGUCAGGUUUGAACAUAGUGGUAUGUGCGGCCAGUAGGCAAGUGCUCUCACAUGGGUGCUUUGGAAAAGAAAACAUUUAAAAUUCAUGGUGGUAUGAUAUCUUAUGGUUAGCACAUCUAAUCAUGCAAACUUUUGUGCAAGUGUUCAAUGGAGUAUAUGAUUUCAACCUCUUGUGCUUCAUAAA